rnacentral:rRNA from 1 species
GACGAACGCUGGCGGCGUGCCUAAUACAUGCAAGUCGAACGCAUUUUCUUUCACCGUAGCUUGCUACACCGACAGAAAAUGAGUGGCGAACGGGUGAGUAACACGUGGGUAACCUGCCCAUCAGCGGGGGAUAACACUUGGAAACAGGUGCUAAUACCGCAUAAUUCCAUUUACCGCAUGGUAGAUGGGUGAAAGGCGCUUUUGCGUCACUGAUGGAUGGACCCGCGGUGCAUUAGCUAGUUGGUGGGGUAACGGCCUACCAAGGCUGCGAUGCAUAGCCGACCUGAGAGGGUGAUCGGCCACACUGGGACUGAGACACGGCCCAGACUCCUACGGGAGGCAGCAGUAGGGAAUCUUCGGCAAUAGACGCAAGUCUGACCGAGCAACGCCGCGUGAGUGAAGAAGGUUUUCGGAUCGUAAAACUCUGUUGUUAGAGAAGAACAAGGAUGAGAGUGGAAAGUUCAUCCCUUGACGGUAUCUAACCAGAAAGCCACGGCUAACUACGUG